GACAGAGGGUGCAAACGUUGUUCGGAAUUACUGGGCGUAAAGCGCGUGUAGGCGGCUAAGUAAGUCGGGCGUGAAAGCCCAGGGCUCAACCCUGGAAUUGCCUUUAAGACUGCAUCGCUUGAACAUCGGAGAGGUAAGUGGAAUUCCGAGUGUAGAGGUGAAAUUCGUAGAUAUUCGGAAGAACACCAGUGGCGAAGGCGACUUACUGGACGAUUGUUGACGCUGAGGUGCGAAAGCGUGGGGAGCAAACAGG
rnacentral:rRNA from 1 species